rnacentral:rRNA from 1 species
AACGAACGCUGGCGGCGCGCUUAACACAUGCAAGUCGAACGAGAAGGCGUAGCAAUACGCUUGUACAGUGGCGAACGGGUGAGUAAUACGUGGGCGACCUACCCUCGAGUGGGGAAGUAACCCGCCGAAAGGCGGGCGUAAUAGCCGCGUACGCUUCCAUCUUUAUGGAGGUGGAAGGAAAGCCGUGCCGUGGGCACGGC